rnacentral:rRNA from 1 species
UACAGUCAAGCUACUGCCCGACCUCAUCUGAUCUCGGAAGCUAAGCAGGGUUGGGCCUGGUUAGUGCCUGGAUGGGAGACACAGAAAUCUGGCU